AAGCUUAAAUAACAAAUCACUAAUUUCGCAACCAAAAUUUAACCCUUCAUCUAUACUGGAUUAUUUUAUACAUUUAUAAAAGUCAUUAUGUUAGAACUAGUAACAAGAAAUUGCUUUUCUCCAAAAUGCACGUUUGAACCAAAUAGGACCAACCAUUGGACUUUAACACAAAUUAUAAUCUAUAACACCACACAACCAGAGUACCUUAAAAAUUUUAGUGUCAAUCUAACACCAGAGCAUUACAGGAAAGAUUAAAAGAGAAAGAAGGAACUCGGCAAAUUUUAGUCCCGCCUGUUUACCAAAAACAUCGCCUCCUGGCCAAAUAUAGGAGGUCCAGCCUGCCCAGUGACAAAAUUCAACGGCCGCGGUACCCUAACCGUGCGAAGGUAGCAUAAUCACUUGUUCUUUAAAUGGGGACUAGUAUAAACGGCAUCACGAGGACUACACUGUCUCCUUUUUCCAAUCAGUGAAACUGAUCUCCCCGUGAAGAAGCUGGGAUAUUUACAUAAGACGAGAAGACCCCAUGGAGCUUUAAACCCAAUGCAUAAUUCAAUCCACUAAACCACCAAAACCCAAGAAACCUAUGCAUCGGUUUUAGGUUGGGGUGACCGCGGAGUAAAACCUAACCUCCGCAACAAACGGGCUAACGCCAUGAUCUAUGAACCACAAUUCUAAGAGCCAACAAAUUGUUGCCCAAUGACCCAAUUAAUUGAUCAAUGAACCAAGUUACCCUGGGGAUAACAGCGCAAUCUACUUCAAGAGCCCCUAUCGACAAGCAGGUUUACGACCUCGAUGUUGGAUCAGGGUAUCCCAGUGGCGCAGCCGCUACUAAAGGUUCGUUUGUUCAACG
rnacentral:rRNA from 1 species